CUGCUCAGGACGAACGCUGGCGGCGUGCCUAAUACAUGCAAGUCGAGCGGACAGAUGGGAGCUUGCUCCCUGAUGUUAGCGGCGGACGGGUGAGUAACACGUGGGUAACCUGCCUGUAAGACUGGGAUAACUCCGGGAAACCGGGGCUAAUACCGGAUGGUUGUUUGAACCGCAUGGUUCAAACAUAAAAGGUGGCUUCGGCUACCACUUACAGAUGGACCCGCGGCGCAUUAGCUAGUUGGUGAGGUAACGGCUCACCAAGGCAACGAUGCGUAGCCGACCUGAGAGGGUGAUCGGCCACACUGGGACUGAGACACGGCCCAGACUCCUACGGGAGGCAGCAGUAGGGAAUCUUCCGCAAUGGACGAAAGUCUGACGGAGCAACGCCGCGUGAGUGAUGAAGGUUUUCGGAUCGUAAAGCUCUGUUGUUAGGGAAGAACAAGUACCGUUCGAAUAGGGCGGUACCUUGACGGUACCUAACCAGAAAGCCACGGCUAACUACGUGCCAGCAGCCGCGGUAAUACGUAGGUGGCAAGCGUUGUCCGGAAUUAUUGGGCGUAAAGGGCUCGCAGGCGGUUUCUUAAGUCUGAUGUGAAAGCCCCCGGCUCAACCGGGGAGGGUCAUUGGAAACUGGGGAACUUGAGUGCAGAAGAGGAGAGUGGAAUUCCACGUGUAGCGGUGAAAUGCGUAGAGAUGUGGAGGAACACCAGUGGCGAAGGCGACUCUCUGGUCUGUAACUGACGCUGAGGAGCGAAAGCGUGGGGAGCGAACAGGAUUAGAUACCCUGGUAGUCCACGCCGUAAACGAUGAGUGCUAAGUGUUAGGGGGUUUCCGCCUCCUUAGUGCUGCAGCUAACGCAUUAAGCACUCCGCCCUGGGGAGU
rnacentral:rRNA from 1 species